rnacentral:rRNA from 1 species
GACGAACGCUGGCGGCAUGCCUAAUACAUGCAAGUCGAGCGAACAGAUGAAGUGCUUGCACUUCUGACGUUAGCGGCGAACGGGUGAGUAACACGUAAGGAAUCUACCUAUAAGCGGGGGAUAACAUUCGGAAACGGGUGCUAAUACCGCAUAAUAUCUUCAUCCGCAUGGAAGAAGAUUGAAAGACGGUUUUGCUGUCACUUAUAGAUGACCUUGCGGUGCAUUAGUUAGUUGGUGGGGUAACGGCCUACCAAGACGAUGAUGCAUAGCCGACCUGAGAGGGUGAUCGGCCACAUUGGGACUGAGACACGGCCCAAACUCCUACGGGAGGCAGCAGUAGGGAAUCUUCCGCAAUGGGCGAAAGCCUGACGGAGCAAUGCCGCGUGAGUGAAGAAGGCCUUCGGGUCGUAAAACUCUGUUAUAAGAGAAGAACAAAUUGUAGAGUAACUGCUACAGUCUUGACGGUAUCUUAUCAGAAAGCCACGGCUAACUACGUGCCAGCCGCCGCCGUAA